rnacentral:lncRNA from 1 species
AUCCCUAAGGAAGACUCCAGUAUGGUGGCCACGCUAGGCUUCACACAAGAAUGAGGUCCCUCCUGCCGCUCCUAUUACUUCGUUUAACAUUCACAGCCCCCCACACCCAGGGGUGGCACUGUUACCCCCACUCUGGAAAUUCAAGGAACCGGCACACGGGCGGGCCCUCCUCCGCCAACCCUGCCCGGGGGAGACGUUGCUGGCAGCCGGAGCGCCUUUCCCCUCCUGGGUGUUCUCUGAGGCGAAGGCGCUGAGUGACUCAGGCUUUGUGGAAAGCCUUCUCCCGGGUGUGGUGGAUCCUCCUCCACGAUGGCCCCAUGAGCUGCCUCACCACACGGCUGGUGAGGACACCAAGCCAGCACACGGAACGGCGUUGUCAUGGUUCACAGCUCACACCGGAGAGAGCCUGUCCUGGGCAGACAGGAUGAGCUCGAGCCAGAGCCUGGGGACAGAUGGUGGCAGGAAGGGCAGGCCAAGAGAGGCCCAAGCUCUCCGGUCCCCAGCAGCCACACGUCCCUGACCUCAUUCACAGCCACAACAGGAGGUGUGGAAGACCGAAAAGAGAGAGACAGUGAAUUCCUCAAAGCGCAGGAGCAGCUCUUGAGCCCCAGCCCGGCCGUCACAGACCCGGCCCCUUGUCCCAGCUUGAGGCUGGUGGUGGCCGAGGGGCCAGUGGGCGCGGUCAUGCUCGCCCAUGACUACCCACGAGCACAGGGGGAGCCCGGAUGUAGCCUGAGGCCCCCAUGUGUCCCCGGGUGACCCCACCGCAGUCCCGUGGCUUGGUGUUUGCCAGCCCGGCAUACUGCCGUCUUAGCACCAUCCCUCCAGAGAGCGGGGAGAGGGCUCCAGGGACCCAAAUCCUCUCCCUGGGACAUUCCCGCGGUCGCUGCCCCUGAGAGCAAACAAUGUGGGAUUCAAUUUCACUGCAAAAUGAGCCGGGCUGGGUGGGUCUGAGCAUCUCCGUCCUGGUGCCAGGCUGCACCCCGCGCCCGCCUGCCUGCUCCGAGGUAGAACUGCCCCCUGCCUGGAGCCCUGUGCCUCCUCCAGGCCCUCAGUCCUGCUGCAGCUUUUCCUGGACUCCCUGACCUGAGCAGAGACAGUGGAACCCUCACGGCUGCAUCCUCCAGGGAUGGGUCCACCCCAGCUGGGGCUGGUGCUGCCCCACAGCUGGACGUGAUUCGGGAUCGGGUUGCAAAGACCAAGGGACAGGGUGAGAAUGGCUGUCUCCCUGCAGAAUAUUCUAGAAUGACCCAGAACUCCAGGAGCAAAGAAAGAGACAGAGCCAUCGACCAACUCCCUCCCCCCAGCCCCUGCACAAGAUCAAAGCCAGGGCUGUCGUACCCCUGUAAUCCCAGGACUCAGGAGGCUGAGGCAGGAGGAUCGCCACAAGUUCUACGCCAGCCUGGGCUACAUAGUAAGACCUUGUCACCAAAAAAAAAACAAAAAGAAAGACCCCCACAGUUUUGGUCUCCAUGCAAUGGGCAGGUAUUUGGCCACAAGGACUGAAGAACUCACGCGGGCCACGGCAGUCCCAGUGACCCCAAAGUCAUUAGGCUGCGUGAAAAAGGCCAGGCACCAAUAGUCACGCAAUGUAGCUUCCCAUUUAUAUCAAAUGUCCAGAAUGGGUAAAGCCAGAAAGAUGGAACACAGAUUCACAGUUGCCAGGGCCUCAGGGGGAGGAGGCCCUGAUGGCUUUGUGGGUACUGAGUUUCCUUCUGGGUGAUAAAAAUGUUCUAGAACUACACAGAAGAUACUGCCAGUGUACCAGUGUCACCAGUGCUGUUUUCCAUUGCAUGCAUUUUACAAUAAAAGGCAAAAAUGAAAAGCCGACUGUCCGAGGGUCCAGCUCUAGCCACUGUGGGGUGAGACGCCAGUGGGUUUUCGUAGAUGUGCUCACCAGAGCCAGACUGUCCUUUGUAGGUGGUGGAUUUAUUGAAGAGGACUAGGAUCUCCGCCCAGGCAGGCCGAGACUUCUCCAGGUCCCUCUCCCAGAGGCAACCCACACCCUGGCCCAGGACGGCUCCUUGGAGGAGAGCGACAGGAACCUGGCUUCUCCCAGUUAGGCUGGCCUCCUCUUCUGGUGCAGGACAGAGCCAGGGAUGACACCAGAAGGGUCAGGUCAAAGGGACCCCGAUCCAGUCCUGGUGGGGCAGCUGCCCCUGGAACAGAACAGGAUGCCUCGGCCUCCGAGAACCAUGACCUUGACCCCGGCCUCCACAGUCAUCGGGAAGAUGUGUCCACAUAGUUUUUCAUUCCGUGUGUGAGCUUGGCUUAGGGCAUCCGAUCUACACUUGUGGUGUGGAUUGCUCUUCCACUGUUGUGUAACAAAGAAUCACAGAUUUGAUAUAAUAAAACGGUGCCCACUUAUGAACCCAUACAGAACCCACUUCCAGAGCCCCUCAGGUUGUUGGUAGAAUUCAGUU